rnacentral:sRNA from 1 species
CGAUAUUUAUCCACUCGAGACAGUUAAAUUUUCAAAUUUAAAACGCGAGGCUCGCCGAGCGUUUUAAAUAUUCAAAAUUUAACUGUCGAGAGUGGAUAAAUAUCG